rnacentral:rRNA from 1 species
ACAGCAGUAGCCGCGGGAAAACGUAGGUGGCAAGCGUUGUCCGGAAUUAUUGGGCGUAAAGCGCGCGCAGGCGGAUCAGUCAGUCUGUCUUAAAAGUUCGGGGCUUAACCCCGUGAUGGGAUGGAAACUGCUGAUCUAGAGUAUCGGAGAGGAAAGUGGAAUUCCUAGUGUAGCGGUGAAAUGCGUAGAUAUUAGGAAGAACACCAGUGGCGAAGGCGACUUUCUGGACGAAAACUGACGCUGAGGCGCGAAAGCCAGGGGAGCGAACGGGAUUAGAUACCCGCGUAGUCCCUGUCUCUUAUACA